rnacentral:hammerhead_ribozyme from 1 species
UCGCGAAACGCCCCGUGAGGGGCGUCUGCCUGGCGCGGUGGCCAGGCACUGAUGAGCAGCCAGAG